CAGUCGAACGCGUCUUGGUUAUUGAUGUUAGAUGCUUGCAUUUAACUGAUUUAACAUUGAGACGAGUGGCAAACUGGUGAGUAACACGUGGGUAACCUGCCCUUGAAGUAGGGGAUAACACUUGGAAACAGGUGCUAAUACCGUAUAACAACCAAAACCACCUGGUUUUGGUUUAAAAGAUGGCUUCGGCUAUCACUUUAGGAUGGACCCGCGGCGUAUUAGCUUGUUGGUAAGGUAACGGCCUACCAAGGCAAUGAUACGUAGCCGACCUGAGAGGGUAAUCGGCCACAUUGGGACUGAGACACGGCCCAAACUCCUACGGGAGGCAGCAGUAGGGAAUCUUCCACAAUGGACGAAAGUCUGAUGGAGCAACGCCGCGUGAGUGAUGAAGGGUUUCGGCUCGUAAAACUCUGUUGUUGGAGAAGAACAGGUGUGAGAGUAACUGUUCACAUCUUGACGGUAUCCAACCAGAAAGCCACGGCUAACUACGUGCCAGCAGCCGCGGUAAUACGUAGGUGGCAAGCGUUGUCCGGAUUUAUUGGGCGUAAAGCGAGCGCAGGCGGUUUCUUAGGUCUGAUGUGAAAGCCUUCGGCUUAACCGGAGAAGUGCAUCGGAAACCAGGAGACUUGAGUGCAGAAGAGGACAGUGGAACUCCAUGUGUAGCGGUGAAAUGCGUAGAUAUAUGGAAGAACACCAGUGGCGAAGGCGGCUGUCUGGUCUGUAACUGACGCUGAGGCUCGAAAGCAUGGGUAGCGAACAGGAUUAGAUACCCUGGUAGUCCAUGCCGUANACGAUGAGUGCUAAGUGUUGGAGGGUUUCCGCCCUUCAGUGCUGCAGCUAACGCAUUAAGCACUCCGCCUGGGGAGUACGACCGCAAGGUUGAAACUCAAAGGAAUUGACGGGGGCCCGCACAAGCGGUGGAGCAUGU
rnacentral:rRNA from 1 species